GAUGAACGCUGGCGGCGUGCCUAAUACAUGCAAGUCGAGCGAAGAGGGGACGGGUGAGUAACACGUGGGUAACCUCCUAUAAGACUGGGAUAAAUUCCGGAAACCGGAGCUAAACCGGAUACUUAACGCUGGAUCGACGCUGCAUUAGGUAGUGGGUAAGGUAACGGCUUACCAAGGCAACGAUGGAUAGCCGACCUGAGAGGGUGAUCGGCCACACUGGAACUGAGACACGGUCCAGACUCCUACGGGAGGCAGCAGUAGGGAAUCUUCCGCAAUGGGCGAAAGCCUGACGGAGCAACGCCGCGUGAGUGAUGAAGGUCUUCGGAUCGUAAAACUCUGUUAUUAGGGAAGCGGUACCUACUCAGAAAGCCACGGCUAACUCCGUGCCAGCCGCCGCGGUAAUAC
rnacentral:rRNA from 1 species